rnacentral:rRNA from 1 species
CCAGACUCCUACGGGAGGCAGCAGUGGGGAAUAUUGCACAAUGGGGGAAACCCUGAUGCAGCGACGCCGCGUGAGUGAAGAAGUAUUUCGGUAUGUAAAGCUCUAUCAGCAGGGAAGAAAAUGACGGUACCUGACUAAGAAGCCCCGGCUAACUACGUGCCAGCAGCCGCGGUAAUACGUAGGGGGCAAGCGUUAUCCGGAUUUACUGGGUGUAAAGGGAGCGUAGACGGCAUGGCAAGUCAGAUGUGAAAGCCCGGGGCUCAACCCCGGGACUGCAUUUGAAACUGUCAGGCUGGAGUGCAGGAGAGGUAAGUGGAAUUCCUAGUGUAGCGGUGAAAUGCGUGGAUAUUAGGAGGAACACCAGUGGCGAAGGCGGCUUGCUGGACGAAAACUGACGUUGAGGCUCGAAAGCGUGGGGAGCAAACAGGAUUAGAUACCCUCGUA